rnacentral:rRNA from 1 species
AGCGAACGUUAGCGGCGCGCCUAACACAUGCAAGUCGCACGAGAAACGGAGCAAUCCGCGGUACAGUGGCGCACGGGUGAGUAACACGUGGAUGACCUUCCCUGGAGUGGUGGAUAACCUGCCGAAAGGCGGGCUAAUACAGCAUAGGACCACGACGCUUUGGCGAUGUGGUGAAAGCGGGCCUCUAUAUAUAAGCUCGCGCUCCGGGACGGGUCCGCGUCCCAUCAGCUAGUUGGUGAGGUAACGGCUCACCCAAGGCAACGACGGGUAGCUGGUCUGAGAGGAUGGCCAGCCACACUGGAACUGAGACACGGUCCAGACUCCUACGGGAGGCAGCAGUGGGGAAUCUUGCGCAAUGGGCGAAAGCCUGACGCAGCGACGCCGCGUGGGCGAAGAAGGCCUCGG